GGCCGCACGGGAUAAUCGGAUUAUCCCAUGCGGUUGUCUUAAGUGGACCGCACGGGAUAAUCGAUUAUCCCGUGCAGCC
rnacentral:pre_miRNA from 9 species